UGAGGGAAUAUUUGGGGGCAAUGGAGGGAACUCUGACCCAGCCAUGCCGCGUGAGUGAGAAGGUUUUUCGAAUUGUAAAGCUCUUUCGGGUGUGAAGAUGAUGACGGUAGCACCAGAAGAAGCCCCGGCAAACUUCGUGCCAGCAGCCGCGGUAAUACGAAGGGGCGAGCGUUGUUCGGAAUUACUGGGCGUAAAGGGUGUGUAGGCGGUUAGGUAAGAUAGUGGUGAAAUGCCAGAGCUUAACUUUGGAAUUGCCAUUAUAACUAUUUGACUAGAAUGAUGUAGAGGAUAGCGGAAUACCCAGUGUAGAGGUG
rnacentral:rRNA from 1 species